AUGAAAUUAGCUCCAGUCUGCGAAUUCGCUAAUUAGCGUCAUGGGGCUGAACACACACCGGGGGUGGUGGAGAGAUAGAAGGCGCCAUUCUGGAAUCUUCCCACAUGUCCUUGUGUUACCACACCUUCACCGUGUCAAUGGACAUCAGCAUUGGUUUGGUCCCCUGGAACUUUCACUGGAGUGGAAUAAGUGGGAGAGAAAACUGAUUGUCAUCUGCAGUAUACAAGCUUGCCUGUAUACUGGAGAUGCCCAACUCCAUCGUCAGCAACUUCGCUCGCUCUGAUGUGACUUGCCUUUUUCAGCUAAAGUACCUUUCUGUCAUUUGUCUUCAUUAGAAAUUGCAGCUGAGGUACCAAUUACAGACACUGGAUGUGAUUUCCCAGCCCAUUGAAAUGCCACUGCCUGUCCUCUCACCAGUGACUGACAACACACAGCCAUUACUCCACCCACAACAUGUAUUUUCGUCCCUCUUCUUUUCCACCUUCUGUACUUGGCAGCACCUACAGAAAGUAGCGCCUCAUGCAAAAAGUGACACCAAGAACUAGCGACCUUUGGCAUUAAUGACUGAUGCCUUUAAUGGGCCUUUUAAGCGUGAACUAUCUUCCCCCCGCAUGAGAGAGAGUCAGCCCUGCCACAUUACCGCCGUGAGGGAAAAGAUCCGCACGGGAACUCUGACCUGACUUGAGAGCUUGUCCUCGGAAGGCUCGAGGUUCUGUGAUUGCAUCUGUGGGAGAAAUGAGUUUCGCGGUUAUCGUGGAGGCCACCCAGGCUUUCUGAGGGCUGUGUGUAGUUCUGUAUCUCGUAAAUGCGAGUCACCCUGCUUUGCCGCUGAGGUGUGCCCCCCCCCCCCCCCGGAGGAUGUCAUCAGAGCAGAAAAUAAAAAGAGAAAGACGAACAUCCUGUCUCAGGUUUAUCAGCACAAUAUUUCAUUCAAUUUUACAAUUUUUUGGUGCUGUGGUGAGUGGUUCAGUGUUCCUGCAAUGCAGCGCCUACAGGAAAUGUUGCCUGGACCCGUCAC